UUCCUUUUCUCGAUAUACUAAUUCAGAAAAAUUUAGAGAAUUUCUAAACCUUGGUCUAUAGAAAACUUACUCAUACUAACCGAUAUUUGAAUUUCGACUCAAAUCACCCGAUAAUGGUUAAAAAAGGUAUCGUAAAAAGUCUAUAUGAUAGAGCAAAAAUAAUUUGUAAUCAAUCUAAUUUUUCCAAAG
rnacentral:lncRNA from 1 species